GCUGGGGUUCUGUGGCUUCUCAUAGCCAGACACUUACCUGGGCCUCCUGGAAAGCUAACAGCAGUCCUCCGGCAUCUGCCUGCCCAGAGCACCAGAACUCUGGUGGAACAUGGGUUUUCUCCCACUCCCUUUAUUCCCUCAUGCCUGCUGCCCUACAGUGAUGUAAAGUUAAUUAAUUAAAAAUAAACAAUAAAAUAAAUAUUGUGUACUAUGGGAGAUAAAUUAACAAAGUGCUUAACAAACAAACAUAAAAAUCUGAUUUCAAUUCUAGAACACACAUAAUAAAAACAAAACAGACAGACAAAAAUCAUAUAAAACAUAAAUAAACAAAAAACCUUGUCCAUCAUGAUCUGUGCCUAGAAUCCAAGUACUAAUGUGGCAAGGGCAGAGGGAUACCUAGGAAUCAGUGGUCACCACAUUUAACCUAAUUGGUAGAGACUGCCAGUGAAAGACCCUGUCUCAAAGGAGAUCAGUGAUUUGAAAAUGAUACCCAAAGUUCCCCACUGGCAUCUGCACACAACCCCCUACUCCCACAGAGAUGGGAGAGAGAGACAGUAACAUUUAAACUUGUAUGCAAAGGAACAUAAACACAUAUACACACUUGCUUAAAGACUAUUCUUGCAAAGCAGAAUGGUUUAGACCUGCAAUCUCACCACUAGAGAGGCAAUUGAGUCUCUGAGCUCCAGGUCAAUUUAGUGUAGAUAGUGAGCCAGAGGCCAAAAAGAGUUAUACCAUGAGACUUUCUCAAAAAAAAAAAAAAAAGGAAUAUUUCCUGGAAGUAUUGGAUUAGUAGUCUUCUUCUUCUUUUUUUUUGUUCUAUCACUACUUCCUACUGCAUGUCCUUCUGUGUAAUUCUUGGUCCUACCUUUAAUAUUCUCAAGCUUUAAAGUAAACAUCCAUAGACCCAAACCAGACUAUGUUCUUCGUAGCAUGUGUUAAACUUCUAUGACUUUGACUGCUAUUUUAAUAGUAUUUAAAUGCAUGAAGACACAUUAACACAUUAGAAUAGAAAACGUUCAUACUCUCCAAAUAUUCAUUGUGUUAUAGGCUUAUCAGUUUUGUUUUGGCUGUUUGCCAUAAUAACAUAGUAAAAAUGAAUAUUAAAAUACUGAAAAAUAAUGUGCAUAUCCAUGCAUUGAGAAACCUGAACUCAACUUGAACUUUCAUCUACAGAUGGCUCUGUGUCCUCCCAAAAUUGUGUUGAAGCCCUCACCCACAAGGUAAUCAUGUUUGUGGAGCCUUUGGGGAUUAGAGAGAGUUGGAUUUUGAUUACUGCUUCCUUUCUCACUCAUUUAGCCUGGGCCAUUUGUCCAUGUCAGUGCUGGGUUUUCUUCUUUAUAUUAGGGGCUUGUGUUCUCAGAAGCUGAGUGAGUCAAUGGUCAUAAACCUGAAAACAGCAUGUAUUGGCAUAAAACUGACAUAGGCGAAAUCAUUUUUUUAAAAACUCUUCCUCAGAAAGCUUAUAGUUUGCUUGUGUCUGAUCUCUUAGGAACUUUCUAGCUCAUCUUGAAGAAUUCUUAUCAACAAAAUGUUAAAUUCUACUAGGUUACAUUCUUGGUCUAAACCACAAUAAAUUUGGGUAGAAACAAACCAACCAUAACACUUGGGAGAACAUCUGCCUUUAAAAGCCUGACAGAUAGAUCUGAAUGUUCUAGAAAUAGAACCCAGAGUUCCCUAUGUAGGCUCAUCGUGAGAAUGUGACUGAUGCAAAAGGACUUUGAGAAUAAACCAAAGGGAAAUACUGAAUGGCUGCCCUAAUUAUAACGGAUGCUCAGAGCAUAACUUUGAGUGAGUAGUUUCUAUGCCAUUCAAGACCCAGUGAGAUGUAUAAAAAUUGCUUAAUAUAAGAUAUACAUUUCUUUGAGAUGAGGUUUUUGAUGUGAUAGCAUUGUCUAUGGUGAAAUCAGACUAUAAAGCAAUGAAAAUGUAUUUAAAUAAAAUCAAUGUAUAGAAGACAAAUGAAGUAAUUUCACACCACAUUAUAUAAGAUGUGGCUAGUCUAACUGCACAACCUCAAGUCAGAAACCUGACUCAACAUUAACUUGCACCUACAGAUCGCACUGUGCCUUCCCAAAAUUGUUUUGAAGCUCUCACCCCUAAAGUAAUCAUGUUUGUAGAGCCCUUUGGAAAUAUUUAGUUUAAGAUAAGAUCGUAAACAUAGGGCGAUCAUUAUAAUAUCAUCUUCAUUCAGAUACAGGAGCUAGAAACAUGGCUCAGGAGAUAAGAGCACUUUCUGAUUUUCCAGGAGAUCUGAGUUCAAUCUCCUGGAUACAUGUCAGAUGACUCACAGCCUACUGUAUCGACAGCUCUAUGGGGAUCUGACACCUCUGGGCUCUAUUAUGUCACAUAACCACACAGAGGGAUACAACUAAAAAUAAGUCUUAAAUAUUAAAAAUAAAGAAGAGACUGAAGAGACCCCAGAGACCUUGCUUACCUUAAUCUCCCUUGUCAUCUAAAGACAAGAAGGUAUCCAUUUCAUGCCAAGUAAAAACAUAUACUACUUGCAUAUUGAUCUUGAGCCUUCAGAUCUCUGAGAUCAUAAAUUUCUUCAGCUUAAUCCACUCCCAGCCUAGGGGUAGAGAGCACCAAACUCAGGAUUUAGGUCCUAGACUUGAUAAGCAUGGAGAAAGCAUGCAUUCAUUUUCCCUGCUCUCAAUUAGCUAUUUUAAUUUCCUGCUGCCUUAAUUUCCCUACUGUGAUUGCAUAUAACCUCGAGUUUUGAACUAAAAUAACUUUCUAUUCCCUCCCUAAGAUGCUCUUUUGGGGGGUAUUUAUUACUGCAACAAAAAUUAAACUAGGUCAAUAAGCAUUGACAAAAGUGCAUAGUUUAAAAUUAUGAACUCACAGAAGAAACAUAAAGGCAAUCCUAACUUAGUCAUAAAAAUUACGAUGAGGUUUUUUAAAAAUACUAAAAUAAAACAAAAUCUAUGAGAAAUACAUUGAUUAAUUUUGUGUCAUCAAAGCUAAAAUGUUAUGUUCUUCUGAAGACAUCCU
rnacentral:lncRNA from 1 species